GAGUGGUCAGUCUAACUCUGUGUUGUUCAUACUCUAGGUUCUGAGAGAGUGGUCAGUCUAACUCUGUGUUGUUCAUACUCUAGGUUCUGAGAGAGUGGCCAGUCUAACUCUGUGUUGUUCAUACUCUAGGUUCUGAGAGAGUGGUCAGUCUAACUCUGUUGUUUCUACUGCAGGUAUUGGUGGAGUGGAGAGCCUGGUGGUGGUACGUACCAGAACUGUGGGGAAAUCUAUUACAUAUCGUCAAGCCAAGGCGUAUGGAGGGAUUUGGGAUGUUCAUUUUCACAAGAAUGGAUCUGUGAGAAAUAAGCUUCUCAUAGGUACGUUUAAUGAACUCUCUACUGUAUGUUAAUGGUGGUCUGAAGGCUGGUGUGAUUUGAUAGAAUGGUACUCUGAACUACAGGUCGGAGAGAAACACAUGUUCAAAUUCAGACAGACACACGAAGACACUGAUCUGAACCUGAGUCUCCCACAGGAGAAACCAACUUCUUAAUUAGAUAAGGAGGUAAUUCCCUCUUGGGCCGAGAGCUGACACUGAUUUUUGAAGUCGCAGGUUGGGCUGCCGCAUCACGUGACCAGGAGAAACAUGACUGACUACUGUCUGCUGCACAAGCUGACACACAAUCAUGUAUUCAUACUGUAUGUCAAAAAGUGUGUAUAAAUAGGGGCAUAACAUCUGUAAUCUAGAAGGACAAGACAUCUCUCUGCCUCUUUAGGACAGAGUUAAUUUUGCAGUGUACAUUUUAAAGGUCUACUCCUAAACUUGAAGAAAGAAAAACUGGUGUAAAUAAGACAUUGUGCCUUUUAAGACAGAGUGAAUGUUACUGUUUACAUUUGGACUCAUAUCUUGUUCACUUCCUGUUUGUGGAGGCAACACCAGAAUGAAGGGUUGGAUCAUAACCAGUAGUUAUCAAAACAGUGUCUAUGGUUUUGUUACUAAAUUAACUGGGACUAAUCAUUAACUACAGUAGGACAGGUGGCAAUGACCGUCAGUGCAACAAACAGGUCACGACCCCUGGUGACCUUUAAUACAGGUAGUGGUUAGAUUCAACUGUUUUGAAAAGCAGAUAUUAUUUAGCAAGUGAAUGUAGUUGUUUAAUGGUUGUAUUAUAUUUCCAAGGGAGAGACAGAAUCCCAAAUGAUACCCUAUCCCCUUUGUAUUGCAUUCCUUUUGGUGAGUAGUGCACUAUAAAGGGAAUGGGGUGUCAUUUGGGAUUCUCUCACAGCCAGAGAGUUAGGCAGAAUACAGGGAGAGACAGCUUACGCACGACUCACCGUGGCCCAAUGGAGGCCCGUUGAGGCUCUUCAGUUGGCCAUCCCAAGAGCUCAACAAAAUCACAACAAGGAA
ensembl:lncRNA